rnacentral:rRNA from 1 species
UACGGGGGGGGUAAGCGUUGUUCGGAAUUACUGGGCGUAAAGGGUUCGUAGGUGGCCAACUUAGUCAGACGUGAAAUCCCUCAGCUUAACUGGGGAACUGCGUCUGAUACUGGAUGGCUUGAGUGCAGGAGAGGAACGCGGAAUUCCAGGUGUAGCGGUGAAAUGCGUAGAUAUCUGGAGGAACACCGGUGGCGAAGGCGGCGUUCUGGACUGCAACUGACACUGAGGAACGAAAGCCAGGGGAGCAAACGGG